rnacentral:rRNA from 1 species
AAUCAACGCUGGCGGCGUGCCUAACACAUGCAAGUCGAACGCGAAAGUGGAGCAAUCCAUGAGUAGAGUGGCAAACGGGUGAGUAACACGUGGGUGACCUGCCUUAGAGUGGGGGAUAACGUCCCGAAAGGGACGCUAAUACCGCAUAACAUGCUGCCUUUUAAGAGGCGGACAUCAAAGCCGGGGACCGCAAGGCCUGGCGCUUAAAGAGGGGCCCGCGCCUGAUUAGCUAGUUGGUGGGGUAAUGGCUCACCAAGGCAACGAUCAGUAUCCGGCCUGAGAGGGCGGACGGACACACUGGGACUGAGACACGGCCCAGACUCCUACGGGAGGCAGCAGUGGGGAAUUGUUCGCAAUGGGCGCAAGCCUGACGACGCAACGCCGCGUGGAGGAUGAAGAUCUUCGGGUUGUAAACUCCUUUCGAUCGAGACGAAUGGCCCUUGGGCUAACAUCCCGAGGGAGUGACGGUACCGAGAGAAGAAGCCCCGGCUAACUCCGUGCCAGCAGCC